AAAGGCCAGGGUAAAUUUUUCGGUUUCCGCUAUCGACAGCGACAAUAAAUCGUCACGUAUAUCCAGGGGUUAAAGCGUUUGGGGACGGAGCCCUCCUUCUUGUUUGAAGUAAAAUUAUCAGUCCCCUUUGGUUUAAGUCUUCGAAAAUUGGGGGGGAGGGCGCUUUAGAUAGGCAGAACACGAGUGUGUACGUUUUUCGAUAGGUUAAAAAAUACUUAAAAAAAAAAAUCAACACGGUUGCGUAUGGAUUCGAGUGCAACGUUGUCAAAUGUAAUAUCCUCAAUAAUUACCUAGUACA